UGGGGAAUAUUGCACAAUGGGCGAAAGCCUGAUGCAGCGACGCCGCGUGCGGGAUGAAGGCCUUCGGGUUGUAAACCGCUUUUGAUUGGGAGCAAGCGAGAGUGAGUGUACCUUUCGAAUAAGCACCGGCUAACUACGUGCCAGCAGCCGCGGUAAUACGUAGGGUGCAAGCGUUAUCCGGAAUUAUUGGGCGUAAAGAGCUCGUAGGCGGUUUGUCGCGUCUGGUGUGAAAGUCCAUCGCUUAACGGUGGAUCUGCGCCGGGUACGGGCAGGCUAGAGUGCGACAGGGGAGACUGGAAUUCCCGGUGUAACGGUGGAAUGUGUAGAUAUCGGGAAGAACACCAAUGGCGAAGGCAGGUCUCUGGGUCGUCACUGACGCUGAGGAGCGAAAGCGUGGGGAGCGAACAGGAUUAGAUACCCUGGUAGUCCACGCCGUAAACGGUGGAUGCUGGAUG
rnacentral:rRNA from 1 species